UAUCAAAUAAUAAAUUAUUAUUUUACCAAAACGGAACUUUACAUUGUUACCAUAUUUUUGAUUGUAGAUAUCUGUUUCGCGACUUUAUAAUCUUUACAUUUUUUGUGACAAUGGAUGACAGAGAUAAAGCUCAGCAUAAUAUGAUAUCCAAUUUGCCGCUUUUGUUUGCAAAUGGAUACCCCACGUCGCUUGAAAAAAUAAGCGAAUCACAAUUAGAAAGUUUUAUUCCAUUUAUGGUACAGUGCUCUUUGGGCCAUAUAAACUUACCAAAAAAAAUUGACUGCAGUGAGCCCGAGUGGUGGCCGGAAAACGCACCUUUUGGAAUUCCGUUAAAAAAACCAAACGAUUUUGUUGGGAGCUGGAUGGAAAAAAUGAAAGAAAUUGUAGUAAUUUGCUAUCAAUUUCACAAAAGCUUAUUUUUAUUACGAUUUUGUAAUGAUUUAGCUGCAUAUGAACAUGCAAGCUUAAGAUUUAUAAACAAUUAUAAUUCAACAACCUCGCUAUAUGAUAGAAGAAACAACAAAUUGUUGGUAACAUUUCGGAAUGAAAACAUGUGGGAGAAGUUCGAUUGGCACUUAGUCUCUUCGGGCCGUUGCCAAAUGAAUGAAAUACCCAUUCAGCAGUAGACGACUACAACAACGGCUUCCAGGAAGAAAAGCAAGAACGGUCCCACUUAUGCGCCAAAAAAAAUAUAACUAUCAGGCAAACUUUUGGAAAAGAUCCCAAAGACUGCGCAGGAAGCGCCGGAUAGAAAAUGUGGAGAAGGAAAUACCCUAAAGGAAAGAAAUUUAAUCCAUGUUUCAGAAAAAAACUGUCAAACUAUAACUGGGUAUUUCAAAAAGAAAACGACCCAAAGCACACAUCAAAGCUUUUGACCAAAUCUUUUA
rnacentral:misc_RNA from 1 species